rnacentral:rRNA from 1 species
UACGAAGGGGGCUAGCGUUGUUCGGAAUUACUGGGCGUAAAGCGCGCGCAGGCGGCUAUCCAAGUCAGUGGUGAAAGCCCGGAGCUCAACUCCGGAACUGCCAUUGAAACUGUUUAGCUUGAGGAUGAGAGAGGUGAGUGGAAUUCCCAGUGUAGAGGUGAAAUGCGCAGAUAUCAGGAAGAACACCCGUGGCGAAAGCGGCUCUCUGGAACGGUACUGACGCUGAGACGCGAAAGCGUGGGGAGCGAACAGG